rnacentral:rRNA from 1 species
UACGUAGGGUGCGAGCGUUAAUCGGAAUUACUGGGCGUAAAGCGUGCGCAGGCGGUUUUGUAAGCCAGAUGUGAAAUCCCCGGGCUUAACCUGGGAAUGGCAUUUGUGACUGCACGGCUGGAGUGCGGCAGAGGGGGAUGGAAUUCCGCGUGUAGCAGUGAAAUGCGUAGAUAUGCGGAGGAACACCGAUGGCGAAGGCAAUCCCCUGGGCCUGCACUGACGCUCAUGCACGAAAGCGUGGGGAGCAAACAGG